GACGAACGCUGGCGGCGUGCUUAACACAUGCAAGUCGAACGGAAAGGCCCUGCUUUUGUGGGGUGCUCGAGUGGCGAACGGGUGAGUAACACGUGAGUAACCUGCCCUUGACUUUGGGAUAACUUCGGGAAACUGGGGCUAAUACCGGAUAGGAGCUCCUGCUGCAUGGUGGGGGUUGGAAAGUUUCGGCGGUUGGGGAUGGACUCGCGGCUUAUCAGCUUGUUGGUGGGGUAGUGGCUUACCAAGGCUUUGACGGGUAGCCGGCCUGAGAGGGUGACCGGCCACAUUGGGACUGAGAUACGGACCAGACUCCUACGGGAGGCAGCAGUGGGGAAUAUUGCACAAUGGGCGGAAGCCUGAUGCAGCAACGCCGCGUGCGGGAUGACGGCCUUCGGGUUGUAAACCGCUUUCGCCUGUGACGAAGCGUGAGUGACGGUAAUGGGUAAAGAAGCACCGGCUAACUACGUG
rnacentral:rRNA from 1 species